rfam:Ovis aries breed Texel chromosome 11, whole genome shotgun sequence.
UCCCUGGCGGUCCAGUGGUUAGGACUCUGCACUUCCAAUGCAGGGGCUCAGGUUUGAUCCCAGGUCAGGGAA